CUAAUAUUUAUUAUUAUUAAUAUAUUGUCAUUUAAUUUCUGAAUAUCUUUACUCAAUGUCUUGAUGUAUAUUUAUAUUUUUUUAAAUUGUUGAUUUCUCUGAUUUAUUUUUGUUUUUUAAUUGAAUCUUGCCCAAAGCAUCGAAUGAUUUAUUAAUCAAAAGUCUCUAAUUGUUCCAAAGUUCUUGAGUUAGCGAUUGUUUUAUUAGAAGUUGUAAUUAGUUAUUGCUUUUUAUGUUUUUAUGUUGAUUUAAGAAUAAAUUACCCUGCUGCAAUUGUACGUAUUUUCUUUUUAGAAAUCUAUAAAUGGUUAAUUCCUUUGCGUGUCAAUUUAGCAUGUGGCGAUUUCGUGCUACGAACAUUCUAUCACCUUUUAACAUAUAAAAAAUGUUUAAGUCAAGUUUAUAACAGUUUUUGUAUCCUUUUAAACGGCUAAUAUGUCUCUUCCACGCUGUAAUUGUUUAGUCACGUAUCAAAUGACUUGCCGGUCAUGUACCCCUCUGGAAAAACAUCUGUAUUUCUGUACUAAAUUAAUUCAAACUUCUAAUCAAAAUUUAAGAGAUGAUAGAAAUUAAAUUGUGAAACAUCAGGAAAUUAAUAUAAACGAUUUUAUUAAACAGUAAGAAGUUAUAAAAAUAGCUUUGUAGUUAGUUCGGACAAUUACUGCCGUAAGUAAUGUUAUGGCCAUAUAUCACGUGGAGUGUUUGGUGUCAAUGUGUGGGCUGAGAAGUAAAAAAUAUUCGAGUUGUUUUAAAUUAACUCGGACAGAUUGUUAAUCCAGAUCAUCUCUGAUUGACCCAUUUCUAUGAUCAAAAGUGUUUCAGUCGUGAUCUUCCUAUCUUUUUUGUAUAUCUGGGACUAACAUUGUUCUAUAAAACAAUAAGGAUGUAUUGUAAGGGAAUUUGGCGGUAUAACUAUAGUCCCUCUCCCACUGUCUUUGUAUCCGCGUAAAGUCGGUGGUGGCGGGCAGCAAUCUGUCAUUAAUGCUCAUAUUUUUAAUAAGAUUUGAAGGGGAUACGUUUUCGGGGUACUAGUUUUCGAAUGCAUGGGUUAUGGUUAUGAUUAUUUUAAAAAGAGAGGUUCAGACCUUUUUAAUCAUUCAGUAACUUAUCCAUGGUCGUUGCAAAGUGUAACGGGACACAUUGCAAUAUUUCAUUCAAAAUGUAGGUAGAAUUGUUCUUUAAGGUUUCUAUGAGUGAAUCAACUUGAAGAAUCUUGACCUCAGCCUGCUGAGCGUAAAGAAUCCACUUCCCCACCCAGCUCAAAUUAUUUAGGAUAACAAAACUAUUCCUUUGUGUUGUGCACCUUUGAUUAUAAAAAUUUAAAGAUAACAAAACAAACAUUUACUGUAUUCUAAAAUUUACUGAUGCCGUAGUAAUAUUACAAAAUAUCUGGUUAUAUAUGUUGUUAGUGAUAGCAUUGUUUAUCUAAGGUCAGCUCGGAUCAAACAGACAUGCUCAAAAGCGUUCUACCGUGACCAUCUCAUUUAAAUCUGUAGGGAUUAAUGAUGGUGUGUUAGAGUUCUGAUCUUAUCUGAAAAAUUACAUCCCAUCCAUCUCCAGGGUGCCCUCUGAAUAAUUGUCACUUUCCUGGGCCUGGAAUCGUGAUACUUUACCUCUAGAGUGAGAUCUUCAACCAAAAGAAUUUCUACUAACUUGCAGAACUAUAACAACAGUCCUCUUAAUAAUCCAACUUCAUUUGCUGCCCAUAUUAUUUCUAACUACC